rnacentral:tRNA from 1 species
GGGCCCUUAGCUCAAUGGCAGAGCACCUCAUUUGCAAUGAGGAGGUUACCAGUUCAAGUCUGGUAGGGUCCACUA